AACAGGAUUAGAUACCCUGGUAGUCCACGCUGUAAACGAUGUCGAUUUGGAGGUUGUGCCCUUGAGGCGUGGCUUCCGGAGCUAACGCGGUUAAAUCGACCGCCUGGGGAGUACGGCCGCAAGGUUAAAACUCAAAUGAAUUGACGGGGGCCCGCACAAGCGGUGGAGCAUGUGGUUUAAUUCGAUGCGACGCAAAGGAACCUUACCUACUCUUGACAUCCAGAGAACUUUCCAGAGAUGGAUUGGUGCCUUCGGGAACUCUGAGACAGGUGCUGCAUGGCUGUCGUCAGCUCGUGUUGUGAAAUGUUGGGUUAAGUCCCGCAACGAGCGCAACCCUUAUCCUUUGUUGCCAGCGGUUCGGCCGGGAACUCAAAGGAGACUGCCAGUGAUAAACUGGAGGAAGGUGGGGAUGACGUCAAGUCAUCAUGGCCCUUACGAGUAGGGCUACACACGUGCUACAAUGGCGUAUACAAAGAGAAGCGACCUCGCGAGAGCAAGCGGACCUCAUAAAGUACGUCGUAGUCCGGAUUGGAGUCUGCAACUCGACUCCAUGAAGUCGGAAUCGCUAGUAAUCGUAGAUCAGAAUGCUACGGUGAAUACGUUCCCGGGCCUUGUACACACCGCCCGUCACACCAUGGGAGUGGGUUGCAAAAAGAAGUAGGUAGCUUAACCUUCGGGAGGGCGCUUACCACUUUGUGAUUCAUGACUGGGGUGAAGUCGUAACAA
rnacentral:rRNA from 1 species